AGCUUGCUCUUUCGCUGACGAGUGGCGCACGGGUGCGUAACGCGUAUACAAUCUACCUUUUACAGGGGGAUAGCCUUUAGAAAUGAAGAAUAAUACCCCAUAGUAUAUAAAUUUCGCAUGUUAUUUAUAUUAAAGAUUUAUCGGUAAAAGAUGAGUAUGCGUUCUAUUAGCUAGAUGGUGUGGUAACGGCACACCAUGGCAACGAUAGAUAGGGGCCCUGAGAGGGGGAUCCCCCACACUGGUACUGAGACACGGACCAGACUCCUACGGGAGGCAGCAGUGAGGAAUAUUGGACAAUGGAGGCAACUCUGAUCCAGCCAUGCCGCGUGCAGGAAGACUGCCCUAUGGGUUGUAAACUGCUUUUAUACAGGAAGAAACCUUUCCACGUGUGGGAAGCUGACGGUACUGUAAGAAUAAGGAUCGGCUAACUCCGUGCCAGCAGCCGCGGUAAUACGGAGGAUCCAAGCGUUAUCCGGAAUCAUUGGGUUUAAAGGGUCCGUAGGUUGAUAAUUAAGUCAGAGGUGAAAGUUUGCGGCUUAACCGUAAAAUUGCCUUUGAUACUGGUUAUCUUGAAUCAUUGUGAAGUGGUUAGAAUAUGUAGUGUAGCGGUGAAAUGCAUAGAUAUUACAUAGAAUACCAAUUGCGAAGGCAGAUCACUAACAAUGUAUUGACACUGAUGGACGAAAGCGUGGGGAGCGAACGGGAUUAGAUACCCCGGUAGUCCACGCCGUAAACGAUGGUCACUAGCUGUUCGGACUUCGGUUUGAGUGGCUAAGCGAAAGUGAUAAGUGACCCACCUGGGGAGUACGUUCGCAAGAAUGAAACUCAAAGGAAUUGACGGGGGCCCGUACAAGCGGUGGAGCAUGUGGUUUAAUUCGAUGAUACGCGAGGAACCUUACCAGG
rnacentral:rRNA from 1 species